rnacentral:rRNA from 1 species
CCUACGGGAGGCAGCAGUGAGGAAUAUUGGUCAAUGGCCGGAAGGCUGAACCAGCCAUGCCGCGUGAAGGUCAGUGCCCUAUGGGCGUUAAACUUCUUUUGUGCGGGAGCAAUAAUGGUCAAGUGUGGCCAGACGAGAGUACCGUACGAAUAAGCAUCGGCUAACUCCGUGCCAGCAGCGGCGGUAAUACGGGGGAUGCACGCGUUAUCCGGAUUUAUUUGGUUUAAAGGGUGCGUAGGCUGUGAGGUAAGUCAGCGGUGAAAUGCCCCCGCUCAACGGGGUGAAGUGCCAUUGAUACUGCCUUGCUGGAAUGCGGAUGCCGUGGGAGGAAUGUGUGGUGUAGCGGUGAAAUGCAUAGAUAUCACACAGAACACCGAUUGCGAAGGCAUCUCACGAAUCCGCGAUUGACGCUGAUGCACGAAAGCGUGGGUAUCAAACAGGAUUAGAUACCCUUGUAGUC